UUUGCUUUCUGGCUUUUGUUGUGCUGAGGAUGGAACCCAGGGCUUGGUGCUGGCUGAGCGGGCGCUUGGCCGUUGAGCCACACUCGCUCCUCUGCAGAGUUGUUGGGAGGUGGAUUCCCUCUGUGAAAUGACAAACACCAGGAGAGAUGACAAGGCCUUUGAGCCAGCCUGCUCGACACAGAGUGCUGGUGGAGCAAACUGACGACCUCGAGCUUGCCAGGCAGAUGCCUAUGCUGCUGAGCUAAAUCCCUGGACAAAACUAUCUUUAAAGAGGACUUUUGUGUGCACAGACCACCUGAGAAUUCCUGAGAAUGUUCUUAUGAUGUUCACAUAUGUAAACGUCAUUCUGUCUUGAAGUGGGGGUGCUUGUCGUGGACCGUGCACAGACCUCAAGUCUCCAAGUCUGGAGGAGCCAAGGAGCCCUAAGGAAGGGAUGCAGUAGCAGGUGUUGCCCCAGGAUAAUUCAGCAGGUCAGGGAAAUGUAUUUCAGCUGUAAGAUGGCUACUGCAUCUCCUCCUCCCUCGAAGUCUCGCAUCACAUCAGAAUCUCUCUUGUGGCCCACCCCACCCAAAACCCGACAAGGCAAGGAAUUCUCAGAAGUACAGGCUGGGCACGGCGGCACAUGCUCGUAAUGCCCCUGAGGGCCUCACAAUGCUCCUCAGCCGCCCUCCGUGGGGCUCCGUGUCGCUGCCAAGUGCAUGGCAUGGACCUAGGGAUGGCACAGUCCCAGGCACAGUCCCCCGGAAGGUGGAGGGGUGCCUGCCGGGGCAGCACAAUCCACAGAGGGCCAGGCCCAGUGCGACAGCGUGUGGCCCCAAGCCCGCGUCCGUGUGGGCAGACCUGGCCUGGGCUGAGCGUGCCCCAGUGUCCCCGCAGCCCGCAGCGUGGCGUGGGAAGCUCGCUGUGCCCUAGUGGUCUCACCCCUGUCCUGUGUGAGUCAGACUCCACCGUGGGGUCGCCAUGGACCCCGCAGGCCCUGAGUUGGCACCACCCCUGUUUUGUUUUACAUCUUUAAUCUCUGUUGGUAGGUGUUUGUAGCAUAUAAUGCUUCCAGUCCUUGUGGGGAGCUGGUCCGUGUGCACAGCCCAGCUGAUUCUCUCUGCACUGCCUCGCCUGGCCCCUCCUGCCAUCUCUGGGUCUCCUUUCCAGCGACCAUCACCUACUUCUGUUACCUUCUACUUGAUGCUGUAUGUAUAAUCUGGUUUCUCACAGCAGCAAACCCGCAUGGUGUUGCUUCACUGGACAUCAUGGUCUCAUGGUGCAUCUCUUUUCCUGCACUGACUCAGACGUACCCCGCCGUGUGUUAUUUAACCCAUUCAUCUGUUUCACCCUGGGAAGCGAGGCUCUGCCCGAGACCUCAUGCAGGGGUCGUGUGUGCUGUGUGGCUGCUCUCUGCUGCUUCCUUACCGCAUCAACUACAGCCAGCGCUCUGGAGGGGAGACGACAGCUCCAGGGUGAGGAAAGUGCUCUGUGCGGCACUGUGUGUAAAGGCACGCUGAUGGCCGAGGCUGAGACUGAGCUUGAGAUCCUCCUGCCUCAGCUUCCCAAGCGCAGGGAUUACAGAUGUGAGUUACCAUGCCCGGUUUCCUUCACUGUUUAAUAUUUGCUACAUGUUAUUUAUUUCUAAAUGGUUUUGGUUUUGUCACACUCAGCUCUUAACAUGCUUUGCAAAUGCGCUUAGGGAUAUAGCUCAGUGGCACAAGUGCCUGCGUGGCAAGUGUGAGGUUGUAAAUUCAAUCCCCGAUAUAAAAAACAAAACAAAACGAUUUUCUAGUGAUUUUUAUUUAUAUUGUUUUUUAUUUAAUUACAGUUCAUAAAUAGACUUUUACAUAUUAAAUCUCAUAGAAUGUGUAGUUUGAUACACUAAGUCCCUGAAGUUAAGGAAGCUAUUAUCCUUGGCUGUCUAAUUUCAAACAUUAAGACACAAGAAGUCAGCCUGCCACUGAAUUCUGUGUUUGCAGGCUUUGAUUUGAUUAUAGAAUUAAUAAGUUCGGUAAGUUCAGAAGUCUCAGGGGAGGAAUUAACUGGCCAGCGGUGGACCGAACAAUCUCAAUGUGGUUUGAGUGUCUCUAGGUUCACGCCUAGCGCCAGUGACCUUUCAUUUACCAAUGGAAUGGGGCAGGAUGUCCUCUGCAUGGCUCCCUGAGGCUGGCGGCUCCCUCUUUGGGCCGGGCUAUCACGUCUUGAGCCUUUUUCCCGGCGGUAACCGCUUCCCUGAGCACGCACUGUUCCUCUUCCCACGGGCAUUGUCUGUGGUGGCAUCAGGGGUGUUCUCCUGGGGGGGCUCCUUAGACUUCUGCAAGACAGAAACACACUCGGUGGGUGCCCACCCAGCCUCGGCAGGACUCUUCCAAGAGGCCAGCCCAUGAAACUCUUGGAAAACAAGACAUCCAGGCCCUCCUCUCCAUUCCCUUAUUCGUGUCUUCAGGAGACCUUAGACAUGGAUUUCAGUGGGUUUGGUGGUGUUUGCCUGUAACUCCAGCACUGGGGAAGCUGAGGCAGGAGGAUUGCUGUGAGUUAGAGGUCAGGCUGGGCUAUCUAGUAAGUUCAAGGCCAGCCUGAAUAACGCAGAAACUAUCUCACCCUUUCCCUAGUAGAAUAAAUAAAUAAAUAGAAGUAUCAAUGAUGUCAGCAUAAAAUCUGGGACUCCGAGUCAGAAUUUCCUAAGUGCACUGCCCUUUGCUAGCUGCAGACUGAGUUUCCCUGCUGAGCUCUGCUUUUUGCAGGAUCCUUUGUAAAGCCCAAGAUUCCGUCCCAGGCUUCGUGAACUGCUCUGAGAGUGCAGACUGGGACGGACCCCAAGAGCCGUCAGUGCUGUGUGCAGAGACAGAAGCUGUCCUGUUCGCCAGGCAUUUGUCCUCAUUCCACAGCCUGAUGUUUUCAGUCUGCAAAGACUCUGCUGCCUGCGCUGGCCGCGCGGGCGGCCCUGGGCACUGAGUGUCCCUUUAUGCGACAGAGGCAUAAACAAUAACAGAUUAUGCAACUGAGCCUCUCCAAGGUUGCCUCUCUGGUUGCUGAUGUGGGGUGCUUUUUCUCACAAUCCAGCAUCCGGGAGGAGCAGGAAAAGGCUGCUCGUGAAUGCCAGCAGGUGCGCAAACUAGGCCACUUGGCCCUGCACGGUUCCCAGGCCCGGCUGCUUCCAAAGGGGUCCCUUCCAGAGCCACACGGCCAGCGCUCUGCUGAUGGAAAGCACAGUGAAGGAACUGGAGGCUGAGUCAGGAAACCCCUAAAACAAACAAGGGGGGGCUUGCCCCUUGUCACCCUCUUUUUGUCUGCAUUUAAAGGCCCUCUGUGCAGGCCACAGGAGGUGAUGAUGAUGAUGGUGGUGGUGACACGGGUGAUCCUGUAAGAACGGUUCUCUGGCACAGGCACUGGACAUGUACUCGUGCACUCAGUCCUAGCAGUGAGCCAACCCCACCCUGGCUGCAUUUGCUCUGAGGGCCACUGGACACUUUUUACAUCCACAUUUUCCCUUUAACUCUCAAAGCUUUAAACGCUUUCCCUAAAAAGAAAGUGGCCCAUCUUACCUGUGUUCUGUGUGGAAUAUUCUCAGAGAUCACUGGUUUGGUUUGGCUUCCUGUGGAUUCCUCUAAAACUAAAUGAAGGAGCAUGUCAUGCAGAUGACAGAAGGAAAUAAACAUCUUAAAAAGGCUUUGAGUACCGACAGGGAUACCCUGACCGAGGAGCAGGCAGGCAAGUGGAAUGUGUUAAAUGUGUUGUGGUUACAGCUGCAGGUUUAAAGUUGUUCGUGCGGGAUUUUCACCACGAUGGUUGAAAAGCUGCACUGUCCCUCCUCUUAGUUUUCUUCGUUUUACUAGUGCAUGCUUUGAACAAUCAACACGUUCAAGAUGAGGAGUCAGUCCCCGGACACGUGGCAGCCGGGCCUUUCUCUUCCCCCUUCUGCUCGGCGCCCCGCCCGCUGUCCACUUUACCAUCAAGCUCUGACCUGUGCUGGCCCAGCAUCAUGACACAGCCCCAGCCUGCAUGCUCCCACCUGCUAGCGGGCGCCCAGGGGACCCACAAUUUCCAGUGCUUGCCGGGCCAGGUGACCUAGUGACUGACUCAUUUCUGGCUCCUGGCCCUAACCCCAGAAGGUGACUCGCCAGCAGAGAAGCUCAGUCUCAAAAAUGUAACAACAAAAAACGAUCCAACAUUUCAGUAGUGAUUCAUGAUGUCACUAUCCUUACAGUGUUUAUCUUUUUAAUCCAAUUUAUGUUCCUGGCAGAAAAAUCAUAUAAAAUGAAUUAACAAGUGAUAAAUUCCUUCAGUACACUAUAAUUCUGAAUGAUAAAAAUCCCCCAAACUUAAACUGAAAUACGAUAAAUCUUUUAAUAAACAUUAUUUAAAAGAAAAAAUUAAAAACUAAAAAUGCGGAGUCAAGUGACUCUAUAUAUGGUUAAAAAUUGGUAAGCAAUAGCCUGUAACUUUUUCUAAAACCAUUUCAGGUUUAUUACUGAUAAAAUGCUGAAAUGCUAUACUCUGCAAGACUUACAAUGUUUGGUGCAAGGUAGAUGUGUUUCUUAUUUUUUCUUUUUCUUUUCACCUUUUAAAAAGUAGUACUGUCUAUGUUCAUGAUACACAGAUGUGGCUUUAGGUACCCUAAUUAUCCCAGUUAAGUUUCAUAUUUUUGCUUUCUGCUUCUGUUGCUAAGUGAGAAGUCACACCCUGACGUCCACUGUGAGCAGUGCGAUGUCCCCGGCCCUGGGGAGCGGCUGGGGUGGGGUGCAGCCCAGGGACAGGACAAGGAGACGGUGUCACCGGAGGACUCACCUGUCAGAACUGCGUCCAGCUGCUCCACCAUGAACUCGGCGUCUUCCGCAGUGAAGCACAUGGGCGGUUUUAUUUUGAGCACGUUUCGGUGAGGUCCGUCAGCGCUGAGCAGCACGCGUUUCUCCUUCAUCCUGGUCGACGCAGGAAAUACACGUGAGUGCUACAAAUGAUAACCGACACGCAGGACAUCCAUCCAGACUCCCACAUUCUGCAAGCCCAGGGCUGGCAACUGCGUGUGUCUUAGAUCUUCAUCUUUGGGGAGAUGAGAGGAGGGAACGCAAGCUCUCAGAGGGGCCGGGUACCGGCAGACGGGCAGGGGCUUUACUUGUAGAUGAUGUGCUGGGCUUCGGCAGUGGCGGGCGUUCUUUUCUCGCGGUCCUUCACUAAGUCAAUUCCGAUGAAGAGGCCAGCACCCCUGGGGGAGGGGACGAGAGACCUGCUGGGGACUCUGCCUUGUCACAGCAGCUCGCACUGUCCCCUGCUGCCCUGCAAAGCUGAGUGUGACACCAUGUAAGUCUGACACUACUGAGUCCAGGAGGCCGAUCAGUGUUUACAGGUGCUUUUGGUUUCUGCAACUUUUUUGUUCAAGUUUUUUUUUUUUUAAUUUUAAAGAGAAAAAAAAAAACUAGAUCACCCCCCACAAAUCAAACUAAAGAAACAUAUAACAACAAUAAUAACAGCAAAAAGAACCCAUAGCAAUAGUGAUACAGGAUUUCAAGGCAAGAUGACAGGGAUACCCCACAGAUUGGGAAUAAGUUUUUGCCAACUGUCCCUCAGACAAAAGACUUCUAUUUAGACUGUACAAAGAACUGGAAAAAAAAUCAGACCUCCGAAAUUCAAAGACCCAAUUCAAAAAUCGGCACCUGAGAUGAAAACACACUUCUCAGGCAAAGACAUACAAACAGCAAAUAUAUGAAAGUAUGUUCAACAUCAUUGGCCAUUCAAGAAAUGCAAAUUAAAACAACACUGAAAUUCUUUCUCACCCCAGAAAGAAUGGCUACCCUCAAGAGAUGGACUAAUAACAGAUGCAGGGUUGUUGUGAAAAAGGAACCUUGCUUCACUGCUGGUGGGAGUAUAAACUGGUGCAAUCACUGUGGAAAUUAGUGUGGAGAUUCCUCAAAAAGCUAGGAUUAGAGGUUCCAUUCCACCCAGCUAUUUUCCUUCUGAGUAUCUUCCCAGAAGAAUUAAAAGCAUUAUACCACAGCCAUAUAUGAGCACCCAUGUUUACAGCAGCACAAUUUGUAAUAGCUAAAUCUUGAAAACAACUCAAAUGGCCAUCAACUGAGGAAUGGAUAAAAAGAUAAUGGCAUUUUUAUACAGUAGAGUACUGCUGAGCUAUAAAGAAGGAUAAACUCGAGGCUUUUAUAGGGAAAUGGAUGCAACUUGUAACUAUACUCAAAAAUAAAUCAGACUGGCAUGUGUAAACAAUGUAUUUUUUUCCUUUCAGUUAUAAAAGAAAGGGGGUUCAAGACAACCUUUGAUUUUUCAGGAUACUUAUGUACAUAUGUUUAUAUAGCUAUGACAAAGUCAGUUUCCUAGGCUACAUUUUAAGUAAUUUUCCACAGGUCACGUAGAGUGGCUUUUAGUUUCUCCUUCUCACCUCUCAGUGUUGAAACGAUGCUAGCUUUAUGAAGAAGAAAAUGUGUGCUGGCCAGGAACACCAAAUGCUAACCACCUCUUACUGUGGCUUCUAGAUGAAGGAUGAUUUUGCUUUCUUCCUCAGUGUUUCCUAGAUUUAGCUUUUAUAUGUGAAGUUUAUAAGGUAAAACAUAAACCAUCUUAACUUUGGGAAAGUGAGAGGCUAGAGGGCAGCUUCAUGGUAAACGUACCUGACAUCUCCUAUCAACGCAUGCUUGGCCUUCUGCUUAUUCAGUAACUCAGUGAGGUGAUUUCCCACUCUGAGAGCAUUUCCUUGCAGGUCUUCCUUUUCAAUUACAUCCAGGACCGCCAAACCCACAGCGCAAGAUACUGGAUUUCCUCCGUACUGCAGGGAAAAGACCAAUGACAAAACCCAGCCAUUGCAUUAGUGAUGUUGCCUCCUCCAUGAGAAAUUUGGUUCUUACGUACCUAAGUGAAAAUACAAUCUUCCUAAAAAUUCCUCCUAGGAUACUAGUUUCUUAGAUGUCGAGUGGGGAAUGAUUUUAUUCCCCUCAUGAUCGAAACAAUUUCCAAUUAUCUUCUCUAUGCAAAUUAGCGUUAGCAGGGCUAUUCGGGCAUUGGCUGGUUCGCCAAGCCAGAAGUUAAACACGUAACAUUGGGGAGGAAGGGCGUUAUGGGCUAGCGAGGAAGGACAGAGCUGCCUGCCUUGAAGGGUAGUGAGAGUAGCUGAACAGUGGGAUUUCCUCCGAAUGAUUUGUGUCUUUAGAUUUGAAUUUUACUAUUCUCUGUUACACGUUGUGUUUAUUAGAGCUUAUGCUCUAAUAAAUUUUCCAAGCCCAAAUCUUGUAACUUCAGGGAUGAAAACCAAGCAAGUGAAAUUUCCCAAAGACAAAAAUUUAGUAUCACUUAUGACAGCUGUCUAACAUUUAUAGGACUAAAUUGUCUAAACUUUUUUUUUUUUUUUUUUUUUUGUCUUUUUGAGAUAAAGUCUCACUAUGCUGUUCAGGCUUGUAGCCCAGGCUGGUCCUGACUUUGCAGUGAUCCUCUUGCAUCAGCCUCCUGAGUACUGGGAUUUACAGGAGUGGGCUACCCCACCCAGCUUGUCUAAACACUUUGAAAGUGUUUUGAGAAUUUAAACAGGACAUGAAACAAAGAUCAUAUUGUUUAUUAGUGAAAAUAUAAUCUCCAAGGUUGGGUAAGAUAAUCAUUUAUCAUUGGAAAAACGAAUGAGAUUAUUUUAGGAAGAGAAAGACACAAAAGGAAAAAAAAUUACAAGGAAUGUUGUGCCAGAUAGGACAGAACUGAUUAGACCACAGUUUGGCGAGGGUUUUGGGAUGGUUAUUCGGCAAUACUGAACCUAACUGCGUACAACACUGGGGAUUAAACAGUCACAGUAAGGACAUGCAUUACGCCCCCUCUUGGAAUUAAAGUCGUAGACCCCCGGUUACCGUAUUGAAAUACUCCAUCCCGGAGCGGUAGAAGGCUUCCGCGAUUUCUUGGGUUGUCACCACACAAGCCACAGGGUGGCCGUUGCCCAUGGGCUUUCCCAUGGUGACGAUGUCCGGGACGAAGUCUUCGCCGUGCAUCUGGAAGCUCCAGAAGGACUUCCCCACUCGGCUGAAGCCCACCUGCACCUCGUCGGCUAUAAACACGCCCCCUGCUCUGCGGACGUGUCUGGAAGGCAAAGGGGGUUUCCGUGGCUUUGGGUUGAGAGUCCCCAAACUUGGCCACAGUGAUACAGCCUAUGGAAAACUGCAAAAGAAGCUUUUAACCUGAAGCCUUGACCUGUGUCCCAAGCAUUCUAGUACUCUGGAUCCGAGUUACACAAGUGCAAUCACGUGGUUUCUAGGUGGUGUGCAGUCUACAAUGCCUGGCUCUGUGCUGCUUAAAGUGAGCUGUGUGAAGAGUGGUUUUUGGCAGAGUUCAUCUUCCAGUGUUUACUACUGGGUCAGGCUCAGAACCAGCCCAUCAGACAGGAUGCCAGGUGAGGGCUCCUCUACAGGACUCUGUGUCGCGUCUCUGGUGACUCUUGGAGUAGGUUGGGGCACAUCUAAGAGUUCUGAGGUGGCAGGAGCUCAGGAGUGGGUAUUUCCCACCCCGUACUCCCACGUUUUGGCCCCAGCGUGGCCCUACGGAACUGCCAUAGUGACGACCUCAGUCUGACCAAGGGUGUCCCAUCAAGGUACAUACUCCGCCACUUUCUGGAAAUAGCCUUUCGGGGGGAUUAUUUGUCCACCACAACUCUGCAUGGAUUCAGCAAUAAAGGCAGCGAUCUGGAAGAGAACACGGGGUCAGAGUCCAUUAGUUCCUCGCUCAUCGGAAGAGCCUUUCUUCCAGAGCGGGUCAUUUUAAAUGUGACUAGAUCCUCUGGUGGGUUGCAAGAAGUCCCUUUGAUUAGAAAGAAACCUGACUCUACUGGAGAUAGAACUGACCUAAAGCUUUGUCCCUGGAAUUCUAGGGUGUAUGGAGGAGAAGAGAGGGCGACUCUUUUCCUCCACCAUUAAUGUCGCCCUCUCCUCUCCUCCACCAUUGAAGAGCUGUAGUUUAAUCAGGAGGAACCUAGGAAGACUGGAAUUCGGGUCGUCUUUGCUAAGAGUCUCUAAGGAAUCGUGAAGUCAUCAAAGGCAUCACCUCGGCGUCUGUUUAUCCGCGUGGUGAGAUGGGACAGCUGAGGCAGGCAUGGGAGGGUUUGGCCACCUCGUAAGGCUUCUCGGUUGUAUUUCUAGGUUUCUCCCUGGUUGAAAUCUACAUCUGCAGUUAGGCAGCUUGCCCUGGAGUGCAGAUGAAGCGGUCAAGGGAGGAGCAGUAGGAAAUGGGUACACAGAAGUGAGGAAAGAAAGUGUGAGGAGACGGUGGGAUAAGGAAUCCAGAGCCAGGCACGGAGGCACACGCCUCUAAUCCCAGCACUUGGGCGGCCGAGGCAGGAGGAGCACUGCGGCUUCCUGGCCAGUCUGGGCUACAUAGUGAGUUCAAGGCCGGCCAGAAAAUCAACAUAAAAAUGAAAUCGAGAGAACCAGGUUCUAAUGCUUACUAUUUUAACAGGUGAAUUAGCUUGGGAGAGAUCCUUGGCUUUUUAGAUACUUAGUGUUUAGCUAUGAAAUGAGGGCACUGGACUCCGAGGUUUCCAUGUAAGACGCUGUGGCUCUGCCAGCACAUCUCCUGGUCCGAAGCUCAUGGCUCAUGGCUGUCUGCAUCACUAACCCAGCAGCAUGAACCCCAGAAAGAACCAGUGCUAAUAUCCCCAAAAAGCUGCACAGAGCCUGUGUUGGCAGAAGAGUGGGAAUGAUCUUGGUACUGUAGCUGUUCUCCUGAAAGCGUGGCUUUUUGUCCUCCUAAGGAAAUAUGGGCUAUUUCUGAAGAGGGAACUUUAAAUUUAGAUCAGCACAGAGACACCACAGAAGAAGACAGAAAACACAAGAAAAUGAAGCAACAGGGAAUGUGAGUGAGUUUCUGUUCACAAGAAGACAGAAAGAUUUAACUAGAAAAAGCAAACCAUUUUAAUUCCCAUGUGGUUUUUUUUUUUUUUAAAUAAUUGCCCUAUCUACACCACAAGCUAGUUUCAAGGCAUCAUCAAGGUGCACGAAAUAUCUGCACUGGUUACCCGGAGUGGGCUGGGAAUGGGACAUCACUAAGUUGUGAAGACUGAAAAGCAGAACCCCCAUUUCCCCCAUUUCUGGACUCUGGUUCUGUUUCAAACAUCCAGGCCUAGAUUGGAGACAGCGUUCUGCCUUGGUUUACCCAGCUGCAAAGUGAGCCCGGCGAGGCUGUAGCAGCUCCAGGGCCGCAGCUGGCUCCCUGAGGUCUGGGAGAGUGGCCGGCUGCCCUGCCUCCCUGCUGACCAUUAACCCAGUGCCCCGUCCCCCUGCACAGCGUUGCCUGCAGCUGCUCUCCCCAUCCUUCAUCUCCGCCCCUGCCCCUGCCCACACCACUCUGCUCCUGCCCACUGCCUGGGAGGUCAGGCCUGGGCCAGCAGCACGGGACGGGCACAGUGACCACAUUGCCAGGAUGAUCGCUGUGGACUGCCUCACAGCUUCAACCCAUCUUAUAAAGCCGUUUCCGGGAUUCGCAAGGCACUGACCUUCCUCCCGCCGGCGUGGGCUUCGUCAAUGAUCUUCUUCACUUCGUCUGCGUAGGCUCCCGCAGGGUCCGGGUGGCCUUCCCGGUACCUCCCUCUGUACGUGUCUGGAGCUG